AGAGUUUGAUCCUGGCUCAGAACGAACGCUGGCGGCGUGGAUAAGACAUGCAAGUCGAACGCGAUUUAUCGAGUUAGCAAUAACUUGGUAAAUUGAGUGGCGAAAGGGUGCGUAACACGUGGGAAAUUACCAAGAAGUGGGGGAUAGCUCGGCGAAAGCCGAAUUAAUACCGCAUAUGAUCGCAAGAUCAAAGCCGGGGACCGCAAGGCCUGGCGCUUUUUGAGAUGCCCGCGGCCCAUCAGCUAGUUGGCGAGGUAAAAGCUCACCAAGGCUAUGACGGGUAGCUGGUCUGAGAGGACGACCAGCCACACUGGAACUGAGACACGGUCCAGACACCUACGGGUGGCAGCAGUCGAGAAUUUUUCACAAUGGGGGAAACCCUGAUGGAGCGACGCCGCGUGGAGGAUGAAGGUUUUCGGAUUGUAAACUCCUGUCACUGCAGAACAAGGGUGUGCCAGUUAACAGCCGGCGCAUUUGAUGGUAUGCGGAGAGGAAGGGACGGCUAACUCUGUGCCAGCAGCCGCGGUAAGACAGGGGUCCCGAGCGUUGUUCGGAUUCAUUGGGGCGUAAAGGGUGUGUAGGAGGUCGGGUAAGUCAGGUGUGAAAUCUCAGAGCUUAACUCUGAAACUGCGCUUGAUACUGCCCGGCUAGAGGAUCGGAGGGGGUAUCGGAAUUUAUGGUGUAGCAGUGAAAUGCGUAGAUAUCAUAAGGAACACCGGUGGCGAAGGCGGAUACCUGGAAGAUUCCUGACUCUGAAACGCGAAAGCCAGGGGAGCAAACGGGAUUAGAUACCCCAGUAGUCC
rnacentral:rRNA from 1 species